rnacentral:rRNA from 1 species
UACGUAGGGUGCAAGCGUUAAUCGGAAUUACUGGGCGUAAAGCGUGCGCAGGCGGUUUUGUAAGUCUGUCGUGAAAUCCCCGGGCUCAACCUGGGAAUUGCGAUGGAGACUGCAAGGCUAGAAUCUGGCAGAGGGGGGUAGAAUUCCACGUGUAGCAGUGAAAUGCGUAGAGAUGUGGAGGAACACCGAUGGCGAAGGCAGCCCCCUGGGUCAAGAUUGACGCUCAUGCGACGAAAGCGUGGGGAGCAAACAAG